GGAACUGGGAGUAAUACCGUAUGUGCCCUUCGGGGGAAAGAUUUAUCGCCUUUUGGAUUAGCCCGCGUUGGAUUAGGUAGUUGGUGGGGUAAUGGCCUACCCAAGCCGACGAUCCAUAGCUGGUUUGAGAGGAUGAUCAGCCACACUGGGACUGAGACACGGCCCAGACUCCUACGGGAGGCAGCAGUGGGGAAUCUUAGACAAUGGGGGAAACCCUGAUCUAGCCAUGCCGCGUGAGCGAUGAAGGCCUUAGGGUUGUAAAGCUCUUUCAGCUGGGAAGAUAAUGACGGUACCAGCAGAAGAAGCCCCGGCUAACUCCGUG
rnacentral:rRNA from 1 species